AACGAACGCUGGCGGCAUGCCUAACACAUGCAAGUCGAACGAGACCUUCGGGUCUAGUGGCGCACGGGUGCGUAACGCGUGGGAACCUGCCCUUAGGUUCGGAAUAACUCCCCGAAAGGGGUGCUAAUACCGGAUAAUGUCUUCGGACCAAAGAUUUAUCGCCUUUGGAUGGGCCCGCGUUGGAUUAGCUAGUUGGUAGGGUAAAAGCCUACCAAGGCGACGAUCCAUAGCUGGUCUGAGAGGAUGAUCAGCCACACUGGGACUGAGACACGGCCCAGACUCGUACGGGAGGCAGCAGUGGGGAAUAUUGGACAAUGGGCGAAAGCCUGAUACAGCAAUGCCGCGUGAGUGAUGAAGGCCUUAGGGUUGUAAAGCUCUUUUACCCGGGAUGAUAAUGACAGUACCGGGAGAAUAAGCUCCGGCUAACUCCGUG
rnacentral:rRNA from 1 species